AGUGAACGCUGGCGGUAGGCCUAACACAUGCAAGUCGAACGGCAGCACAGUAAGAGCUUGCUCUUACGGGUGGCGAGUGGCGGACGGGUGAGGAAUACAUCGGAAUCUACUUUUUCUUGGGGGAUAACGUGGGGAAACAUACGCUAAUACCGCAUACGACCUACGGGUGAAAGCAGGGGAUCUUCGGACCUUGCGCGAUUGAAUGAGCCGAUGUCGGAUUAGCUAGUUGGCGGGGUAAAGGCCCACCAAGGCGACGAUCCGUAGCUGGUCUGAGAGGAUGAUCAGCCACACUGGAACUGAGACACGGUCCAGACUCCUACGGGAGGCAGCAGUGGGGAAUAUUGGACAAUGGGCGCAAGCCUGAUCCAGCCAUACCGCGUGGGUGAAGAAGGCCUUCGGGUUGUAAAGCCCUUUUGUUGGGAAAGAAAAGCAGCAGGUUAAUACCCCGCUGUUCUGACGGUACCCAAAGAAUAAGCACCGGCUAACUUCGUG
rnacentral:rRNA from 1 species